GACGACGCUGGCGGCGUGCCUAACACAUGCAAGUCGAGCGGGGUCGAAGCGAGGGGUAACUCGGACUUCUACCUAGCGGCGGACGGGUGAGUAACGCGUGGGCAACCUGCCUCAAGGUUUGGGAUAACAGCUCGAAAGGGCUGCUAAUACCGGAUAUGCCUGUGGCCUCGCAUGGGGCUAUGAGCAAAGGGGAAACCCGCCUUGAGAUGGGCCCGCGUCCCAUCAGCUAGUUGGUGAGGUGAAGGCUCACCAAGGCGACGACGGGUAGCCGGCCUGAGAGGGUGACCGGCCACACUGGGACUGAGACACGGCCCAGACUCCUACGGGGGGCAGCAGUGGGGGAUCUUGCACAAUGGGCGAAAGCCUGAUGCAGCGACGCCGCGUGAGCGAAGAAGGCCUUCGGGUUGUAAAGCUCUGUCUGGAGGGACGAAGAAAAUGACGGUACCUCCGGAGGAAGCCACGGCUAACUACGUG
rnacentral:rRNA from 1 species